CUUAGGCGUGUGACUGCGUACCUUUUGUAUAAUGGGUCAGCGACUUAUAUUCUGUAGCAAGGUUAACCGAAUAGGGGAGCCGAAGGGAAACCGAGUCUUAACUGGGCGUUAAGUUGCAGGGUAUAGACCCGAAACCCGGUGAUCUAGCCAUGGGCAGGUUGAAGGUUGGGUAACACUAACUGGAGGACCGAACCGACUAAUGUUGAAAAAUUAGCGGAUGACUUGUGGCUGGGGGUGAAAGGCCAAUCAAACCGGGAGAUAGCUGGUUCUCCCCGAAAGCUAUUUAGGUAGCGCCUCGUGAAUUCAUCUCCGGGGGUAGAGCACUGUUUCGGCAAGGGGGUCAUCCCGACUUACCAACCCGAUGCAAACUGCGAAUACCGGAGAAUGUUAUCACGGGAGACACACGGCGGGUGCUAACGUCCGUCGUGAAGAGGGAAACAACCCAGACCGCCAGCUAAGGUCCCAAAGUCAUGGUUAAGUGGGAAACGAUGUGGGAAGGCCCAGACAGCCAGGAUGUUGGCUUAGAAGCAGCCAUCAUUUAAAGAAAGCGUAAUAGCUCACUGGUCGAGUCGGCCUGCGCGGAAGAUGUAACGGGGCUAAACCAUGCACCGAAGCUGCGGCAGCGACGCUUAUGCGUUGUUGGGUAGGGGAGCGUUCUGUAAGCCUGCGAAGGUGUGCUGUGAGGCAUGCUGGAGGUAUCAGAAGUGCGAAUGCUGACAUAAGUAACGAUAAAGCGGGUGAAAAGCCCGCUCGCCGGAAGACCAAGGGUUCCUGUCCAACGUUAAUCGGGGCAGGGUGAGUCGACCCCUAAGGCGAGGCCGAAAGGCGUAGUCGAUGGGAAACAGGUUAAUAUUCCUGUACUUGGUGUUACUGCGAAGGGGGGACGGAGAAGGCUAUGUUGGCCGGGCGACGGUUGUCCCGGUUUAAGCGUGUAGGCUGGUUUUCCAGGCAAAUCCGGAAAAUCAAGGCUGAGGCGUGAUGACGAGGCACUACGGUGCUGAAGCAACAAAUGCCCUGCUUCCAGGAAAAGCCUCUAAGCAUCAGGUAACAUCAAAUCGUACCCCAAACCGACACAGGUGGUCAGGUAGAGAAUACCAAGGCGCUUGAGAGAACUCGGGUGAAGGAACUAGGCAAAAUGGUGCCGUAACUUCGGGAGAAGG
rnacentral:rRNA from 1 species